rnacentral:rRNA from 1 species
ACGCUGGCGGCAGGCCUAACACAUGCAAGUCGAGCGGUAGAGAGAAGCUUGCUUCUCUUGAGAGCGGCGGACGGGUGAGUAAUGCCUAGGAAUCUGCCUGGUAGUGGGGGAUAACGUUCGGAAACGGACGCUAAUACCGCAUACGUCCUACGGGAGAAAGCAGGGGACCUUCGGGCCUUGCGCUAUCAGAUGAGCCUAGGUCGGAUUAGCUAGUUGGUGAGGUAAUGGCUCACCAAGGCGACGAUCCGUAACUGGUCUGAGAGGAUGAUCAGUCACACUGGAACUGAGACACGGUCCAGACUCCUACGGGAGGCAGCAGUGGGGAAUAUUGGACAAUGGGCGAAAGCCUGAUCCAGCCAUGCCGCGUGUGUGAAGAAGGUCUUCGGAUUGUAAAGCACUUUAAGUUGGGAGGAAGGGCAUUAACCUAAUACGUUAGUGUUUUGACGUUACCGACAGAAUAAGCACCGGCUAACUCUGUGCCAGCAGCCGCGGUAAUACAGAGGGUGCAAGCGUUAAUCGGAAUUACUGGGCGUAAAGCGCGCGUAGGUGGUUUGUUAAGUUGGAUGUGAAAUCCCCGGGCUCAACCUGGGAACUGCAUUCAAAACUGACUGACUAGAGUAUGGUAGAGGGUGGUGGAAUUUCCUGUGUAGCGGUGAAAUGCGUAGAUAUAGGAAGGAACACCAGUGGCGAAGGCGACCACCUGGACUAAUACUGACACUGAGGUGCGAAAGCGUGGGGAGCAAAC